CAGAUCUUUGAUGUUGUUUACUGACGCGUCAGCCCGUUUUACCCCAAAACCCCCCGUGUUAUAGACCUGACCAGACAUGUAUCAAGGAUGUGUCAAGGAGGAGCAGUGCACGGACGGGCAGGACCAGUGCUCGUAUUCCAUGUCCCCAUCUACACAGAGAGCAGAGGUGGAGGAGGGGAGUGGAGGAGCAGCCUUGCCUUGGUUGCAUCUCAGAACCUCACCAUCCUGAUCUUGGCUGAAGCCAAAAAAAAAUUAUCCUAUUCCUCCAAAUUAUGAACAGAGGAACAUCCAGUCCUGACUCUAGCUCCAGACGGACAAUGGGGUCUCGAAGGAGGCCAACUUGGCCGUGAUGACAAAAAAAAAAAGGGUGUGUGAGAAAAUAAAGCAGGCAAGCUUACCGUUUCACCGUCCUGCGUCCAUUUCACCAAGGAUACUGCAGACAAACCUCUGAGUAAGAGAAAGGCUGUGUGCAAUCCACUCUUAGUCCAACAUCCUCCAAAUCUCUCUCCUUUCACACUCUCUUUGAUCCCACUCUUUCUCUUAUUAUUGUCUGUGUUCUAUUUCCUCUUGCGUUGGCUCCAAGGCAGUUGAGGCACUGCAGCGAUGGGGGAGGAGGGUGUGUGUAUGUGUGCACGUUUGAGUGUGUCAGAGAGCUCAGGGAGAGAGAGCGAGAGAGAGAGAGUGUACAAGAGAGAGAAAAAUGAAGGGAGGAGUCAGCAAGGAUAGAGAGAGGAAAACGGACAGGAUUAAAUCAUGAGAGAAACAGAAGGAGGAAAAAGGGCACCAAGCUAAACAGAACACAGGGCUGUGAGUGCAUCGCUGCUCCGUUGCAUGCAAAAGGAAAACGAAAGAAGUGUUAAAGGAAACAAAGAGCCCCGCAAGCUGCAGUAGAAAGACAUUCUGUGCCUCUCCCAGCAUCCUGUCUCCCUAAUCCUUAAUCCUGUGAAAAUCGGUCAGGCGGAAACAGGGCAGCUUUGAUCAGGCUCUCAUAUCAGACGUGGUAACAGUGUUGGCUCCCCCAGAUCCCAGAGAAACCCGGAGCCCAGUGGGACGGAGAGG
ensembl:lncRNA